ACUAGAAGCUCUUGGGAGCAUGUGGACAGUUGUGGCUGCUCCUGAGCUGACACUAACUGCUCAUGACUCCUCUGUGGGAGAAGUAGGUGGUUUCCUAGAGGAAGAAGUUUGGGUAAUGAAGCCACAGAGAUUUGCUGAUACAUUUGCUAGGCACGACUUCUGGUCAUUUAGAAAGCUAUUUUGUGGCUUCAUCAAUAAGGUAUUCCCCAGCUGUGUUACUCCUUCGCAUUGUUAUCUCUUUCCCUGGAAUUGAAGGCUUCCUGGUCUGAGGCAAGGACAAUUAUUCCCUCACUGUCAACCCUGAUCUCUGGCUGCAGUAAUGAGUAGAGGAAAUGAAGAAAUAAGAAUGGAAGCAUAAUCAUUUGUCCGAGGUCACAGAGGGAGAUGAUUACACAGCUGGAAUGUAAGCCUCAGUACUUUACUGAAUCCUUGGCUUUGUCCAUGGGCCCAGCUACAGGCAUAAAGCUUUUCUCUUCCCCAGCAGUGACUUCGAGUACCAGCUUUCAAAUUUAUUUGACAUUGAAUCUAAGCUUUGUGACCAGUAUGUAGAAGGAGAAGAAGGGGAGGAAUUACUUAUCCUUUGGCAUACAUUAGCAUGCAAAUAAAUCCUUUCUCUGCAUUGUGGAAGGGUCUGAAAUUAUCACAUAUACAAUGUAUCUUUUAUCAAUGGCCUUGCAUACAAAUUUUACUUUGAAGAAUCCAGAUUUAGAGGUCUUCUCCAAACAUUUGCAUUGUUUCUUUUUCUUAGGAUCAGAACUUCUACCUAUUGUCAUUUUAAGAAAAAAGAUCAUGAAUUAAUUAAUUUAUUCAUUAUUUACACCCUUAUAUUCUUUCCCAAAUGUUUUAAUGUGGCUUACAUUGUAUACAUGUACACAAUAAAUAUUUAUAUUUAAAUAAGUUAUAAUCACAGAAUGAGAAUAUUAUUACAACCACUCAUACUCAUUCAAAUAGCUUGAUUAUAUCAUUGAGCUUUUCUUUUAGUUCUGGGUUUUUUGCUGCCUAGUUUAAAUCAGAAUGGCAUCUGAUUUAAUUAAUGGAAACUGAGUUUAUUUGAUUGAUGGAAACAAGAUGAUUUCAAGUGUGAUGCACUUUUUCUGUACUAACGUUUGAGAUACAUUUAUUACAACUGGCCACUUCAUAAUGGGCCAUAAGCAUUGUUUAAAGACAAUGGCUACUAUUGUUUGAAAGCUAAGGAAAGAUCCAAUGCUACCAGAUGUAUAUUGGCUGAGAAAUGAUCAGCUGAAACUACAGGCUGAAAUGCUGUAUAAGGUAGGCAAUAAAAUUAGAGAAUGUUUGCCGAACCCACUAAGCAGCAAAGAGGACCCAGCUUAGAAGUAAUGUAAAUUUUAAAGCUCUUUACCAGUGGCAAGCUAAUUUGAAAUAUUAGAAGUUAUUAUUUGUUUUAUGUUUCUCUCUCUAGCAGUAUAGUUUUUAACCGGCUUGUAAGAGCUCUUUUGUUAGUAAUGAUAUCAACCCUUCUUCUCUAAAUUAGUUGUUUGCUUAUUUACAAUUUCUGAAUUUUUCUCAAACAUGACAAUGAUUCUGAUGCAGUGGUUCUCAAUCAGGGGUAGUUUUGUACUCCAAGGGACAUUUUGGCAAUGUCUGGAGACAUUUUUGGUUGUCAGAACUAAGAGGACUGUGCUCUGGGCAUUUAGUGGUUAGAGGACAAGAGUGCUGCUAAACAUCCUAUAACGGACAGGGUGUCACCCACAACAAAGAAGUAUCCAACUCCAAAUGUCAAUAAUGCUGCAGCCGAAAAACCCUGGUCUAAGGAAUCAUCAUCCUGGUGUAUUUUUUUUUUCCAGUAGUUCGGAAGAAUGUGAAGAAUUCUCCCAGAAUUUUUCAAGAUAUUCCAAGUACCUAUUUAUUUUAUAAUCCUUGAAGACUUACUAAGUACCCAUAAACUGGUUGAGGAAAGCCAGUUUCAAAAUAAAUAUGAAAUCAUAUUUAUUUUUCUCUGAUUAAUCAAGGUCAUCAUGUUUUUAGAUGCCCUGCAAAGAAAACUGGUCAAAAUGUAAGACUGGCCCUCACAUUAAAUCAUCCAAACUAGUAACACUCCUCUAAAGGACUUCCCUCUUGGAACAUUCUUGACUUUCACAUAAUCAGUAGGCAACCUCCUUAGUCAAGGAGUCCUCUCUAACUGGCAAACCUAUCAUUUGGAAGAAUGAUCUUUUCUUCCUCCUUGCUGACUUUAGUUUCAGACAGCUAAUUACAAGUCCUUGUUCCUCCGUGACCUAGACCUGUGACUUAAGGCAAAUUACAAUACCUUUUUUUCAUGCCUAAUUUUAUUUAAAGAUUUGAAAACUGUAUUGCAAUAUAACUGAAAUAAACUAAAUUGCACAAAGUA